UGGCGAACGGGUGAGUAAUACAUCGGAACGUGUCCGCUCGUGGGGGACAACCAGCCGAAAGGUUGGCUAAUACCGCAUGAGUUCUACGGAAGAAAGAGGGGGACCCGCAAGGGCCUCUCGCGAGCGGAGCGGCCGAUGACUGAUUAGCCGGUUGGUGAGGUAACGGCUCACCAAAGCAACGAUCAGUAGCUGGUCUGAGAGGACGACCAGCCACACUGGGACUGAGACACGGCCCAAACUCCUACGGAAGGCAGCAG
rnacentral:rRNA from 1 species